GGGUUUAAAGACUCAAACGUUUAAUGUUUCUUUACAUCUUGAAGCAAUAUGAGCCCUGCUAAUUUGCUUUACUUUAUUGCCAUUACGGUAUACGGUUGUUGGCUUCCGUCUUGUUGGGGCUGGUCGCAACUAAAUUCUGAUAAAUAAAUUUAAUCUCACUGUUUAUCAGAUUUAUAGGCUUCGUAAUCCUAGAAUAAAAAAAAAUAAUGUGAAUAA
rnacentral:sRNA from 1 species